rnacentral:rRNA from 1 species
UACGGGGGGGGCAAGCGUUGUUCGGAAUUACUGGGCGUAAAGGGCUCGUAGGUGGCCAACUAAGUCACACGUGAAAUCCCUCGGCUUAACCGGGGAACUGCGUCUGAUACUGGAUGGCUUGAGUUUGGGAGAGGGACGCGGAAUUCCAGGUGUAGCGGUGAAAUGCGUAGAUAUCUGGAGGAACACCGGUGGCGAAGGCGGCGGACUGGAACAAUACUGACACUGAGUGAGCGAAAGCCAGGGGAGCAAACGGG